CACAUGUUGCCUACACGAUUUUCUAAUAGUGGUAUCAGAGUAACAGAUUUUUGAAAACACAUAUGAUCUUAUUUUUAGAUUAGAUCUAAAAGUUUUAAUAAUUUAAAAUUAAUUUUAUGCUGAUAUAAGGUUGUCCUAAUAUAGGGUUUGACCCUUAUAUUGUAAAGAUUGUCCUAGCACAAGAUUGAUCGAUUUUAAAAAUUAUUUUUGAAAUAAUUAAAUUAAAUCUUUUAGAUCUAAAAAUUAAUAUAUAUGAUAUAU
rnacentral:lncRNA from 1 species